GACGAACGCUGGCGGCGUGCUUAACACAUGCAAGUCGAACGAUGAAGCUGGAGCUUGCUCUAGCGGAUUAGUGGCGAACGGGUGAGUAACACGUGAGCAAUCUGCCCUUGACUCUGGGAUAACUGCGGGAAACUGUAGCUAAUACCGGAUACUUUCACCGGGGCAUCCUCUGGUGAUGAAAGAAUUUCGGUCAAGGAUGAGCUCGCGGCCUAUCAGCUUGUUGGUGAGGUAACGGCUCACCAAGGCGACGACGGGUAACCGGCCUGAGAGGGUGACCGGUCACACUGGGACUGAGACACGGCCCAGACUCCUACGGGAGGCAGCAGUGGGGAAUAUUGCACAAUGGGCGCAAGCCUGAUGCAGCAACGCCGCGUGAGGGAUGAAGGCCUUCGGGUUGUAAACCUCUUUUAGCAGGGAAGAAGCGAAAGUGACGGUACCUGCAGAAAAAGCACCGGCUAACUACGUGCCAGCAGCCGCAGUAA
rnacentral:rRNA from 1 species